rnacentral:RNase_P_RNA from 1 species
UGGAGCGGGUGCAUGAUCGCUCCGGCCCUUGAGCCGGAGAGGAAAGUCCGAACUCCGCAGGGCAGGAUGGUUCGUAACGCGAACGCCGGGCGACCGGGGGAAAGUGCCACAGAAAACAAACCGCCCGGUGCAGAUCGGGUAAGGGUGAAAUGGCGAGGUAAGAGCUCACCGCGUUCAUGGUGACAUGGACGGCAGGGUAAACCCCAUUCGGAGCAAGACCAAAUAGGGAAGCGUCAAGGGCGGCCCGUCCGUGCUUCCGGGUAGGUUGCAGGAGAUGCCGGGCGAUCGGCAUCCUAGUGAAAUGAUCAUGACCCAUAACAGGGAACAGAAUUCGGCUUAUAGCCCGCUCCUUUUU